UUACUAGAAGUUGUUUAGAGAAAUAACUGGUUAUGAACCUAUCCAUAGAUGCACAUGGGUUGACCAACCAAAGUUGGGCUCGUGUGUAGUCUGUGUGGAUUCUAGUACCCACUAAGGAAUUAAAGUAAUUUUUCGAAUUGGAGGUUGAGGCUACCAGUUCGUUAAAAUAUUGGGAGAAACUUUAAACUAAAGUCCAAGUCUUUAGUAUU
rnacentral:lncRNA from 1 species